GAUGAACGCUGGCGGCGUGCUUAACACAUGCCAGUCGAACGGAACUACUCCAAUGAGAGUCUUCGGAAAGGAUUUGGUUUAGUUUAGUGGCGGACGGGUGAGUAACGCGUGGGUAACCUGCCCUAUACAGGGGGAUAACAGUUGGAAACGACUGUUAAUACCGCAUAAGCGCACAGGAGCGCAUGCUCCGGUGUGAAAAACUCCGGUGGUAUAGGAUGGACCCGCGUCUGAUUAGCUGGUUGGCGGGGUAACGGCCCACCAAGGCGACGAUCAGUAGCCGGCCUGAGAGGGUGAACGGCCACAUUGGGACUGAGACACGGCCCAAACUCCUACGGGAGGCAGCAGUGGGGAAUAUUGCACAAUGGGGGAAACCCUGAUGCAGCGACGCCGCGUGAGCGAAGAAGUAUCUCGGGAUGUAAAGCUCUAUCAGCAGGGAAGAAAAUGACGGUACCUGACGAAGAAGCCCCGGCUAACUACGUG
rnacentral:rRNA from 1 species